rnacentral:rRNA from 1 species
GUCAGAGCCAAACCUCCCUGCAGCUCUCACUUGGUUUCCCACUGAAGCUAAGCAGGGUUGAGCCUGGUCAGUACCUGGAUGGGAGACCUGCUACAUAAAACUAAUGUUGCUGCUGGAA